CAUUUGGAAGCUUAGGAGCCCAUUUACAACUUGAAAUUUUUCUAAGGCUGUAUUUUGUCAAGAUUUAAUGACUAAUACAUAUUCUUUAUUUAAAUAGGAAAAUUUUAAAGCAUGGCUGGUGCAGGACGUCUGCCAAGAGAUUUUUUUAAAUUACAACGAAACCUGGAAUAUAUAUCUGAUGGUCAAGCUGAAAUACAUUCGUACGACGAGAAUUUUAAGUUUAUCAAGUUGAAAAUUGUGAUGAAAGACGGCCCGUAUGAAGGAAUAGCAAAUGUUUUUAGGCUUUCCGACCUCGCCAAUUAUCCCGAAUGUCCACCAGAGCUAUAUUGUGAAACACCUAUUUUUCAUCCAAAUAUUAGCCCUCCCGAUGGAGAAAUAUGUUUAAAUUUACUGGAUUUUUGGAACUUGGGAUCACAAAAUUUUGAAGCCGUUGUACAAGGUCUUAUAUUCCUUCUUCGAGAACCUAAUAUGAAUGAUCCAUCUUGGGGUAAUUUCGAUAUUAUCAACUUAGAUGGAAGUAGUUUUCACAAAUUUAUCGAAAGAUUGAAAGGAGGUGAUUUUAGUGUUUUUCAAGAAAUAUACGAUGAAAGGAGACUUUUAUGGACUCAAUGGCAAGCACAUAAUCCUGCAUUAGACGGUAGUGAAAGUUUUUGUAGUGACGAAAGAUCUGUUACCUCAGAUACUGACUAUAACUCUAUUUGUUCUCUCCACGAAUCUGAUUUUAGUGAUGUGUCAUAUUUGGAUCUAACCGAUGAUUUUAAAGAUUGCGAAGAUGUUAAAAAUCAUACUGAGGAAGGUCAAUGUGAAACCAUAGCACCUUCGAAAUCCUUCAAAGGAGCUAAGACACCGGCUCUAGUUAGAGUAGGAAGAUUUUUCUCAAGAUCAUUUAGAAGGUUAUCUAGAACUUUUUCAAGGCAUUAGCUCUAUAUAUGUACAUAUAUACAAGUGCAAAUAUAUAUAUAUGAGUGUGAAUAGCCUAAAAAAGAAAAAGUUUAAACAAAUGAAGGAACUAUAUUAGAAGCAAAAGAUUUAUCAAUAACUAACGAUCACUAUUGACUUAAGUACCUAAUCUCAAUAUCUUUCCUUCUUCCUUCCCUCAUCUCAUACUUCCUAUUUCCCUCCUUGCCAACUUUGCAGUUUUAAAGUAUUUCUUGUAAUUUUAACCAGAAGAAAACGUAGUUUCAAAAAUAGUAUUUGAAAAUUUAGACAAUUUUUUAACGUAUUAAUACAUUUCCAUACCGAAAAAAGCAUACAAUUUGUUGUUUUCUUUAAAUAACGCAAAUCAUUAACUCGAACAUUCGGUCGUUUCUCUUUCUUUUAUCGCUAAAAUGUUAGCCAGAUAGAUGUAUUUUUGAGUAUAAUUCCAUUGAAAUAAAUGAGAUAAAAAACAUUGUUGUUUUUCCCCUUUUAUCGAAGAAAAUACUUAUUUUAUGAACUUUUGAAUCUUGUUUUCGUGUUUGUAAACAUGAAAAAA
rnacentral:misc_RNA from 1 species